rnacentral:lncRNA from 1 species
UGGAUGCGAACUAACUGUGUUUAUUGAGGCAACCGUUUUCCCUUUAACCAAUAUGGUCAUCUCCUGUCGCAGUAGCUCCAGCUUUGUAUUGACUUCUUCUAUCUUGCUUAAUUCAUUGGAGGCGAUCGGUCCAGCACUUGCCAACGGUGUUUCUGAGGUAGAUUCUACACUGUGACCUUGAGUAUGUGAGAUGUGAGCAGUGUAUCUUGGCUUGAACGUCCCUGGAUUGUUGAAUUGCUUGUUUUUGCUCUUAA